CUAGACCUGAAAUCAGUCGAGGACACCCGCUGAAUUUAAGCAUAUUAUUAAGCGGAGGAAAAGAAAAUAACUAUGAUUCCCUUAGUAACGGCGAGUGAAGAGG
rnacentral:rRNA from 1 species